rnacentral:sRNA from 1 species
GGCGCAGUCACGCCCAACAUUUGCAUGAAACAAUCUUCACACAUUAUAUUAUAUGGACCGUACUAACAAUUCAUAUAAUGAUUUAAAGAAAUUAGUAACAGUUUGGCGUUUGGUAAAGUAGAUAUUGCUAAGAGCUUCGAAUUGUGGAAUUUUAUAGUUUGAAGCGAUAGAUAUAAGUUUAAUGUAUGAAUAUGGAAAUGACAAAAAAUCGAAUGUCAGAUGCCCUACACCUCAAAAAUACUCGCAGAAAACAUUUAUUAAGAUGCUAAAGGGUUUACAAUAAAAAAAACGACGAGCACACAAUUGCAAUUAUUUGCGAGCCUAUGGAUCCGUUUGGGAUUAUUUUCUUCUGUACGUACAAAAUAAUGUGCUACAGAGAUAUACACAAAAGAAUAAUUAUUGGUCCGAUAAACGAAUAAUCAUUUGCGGCUAUUACAGAACUUUUGCAAUUAAGGAGUUUUUGGUUUUACAACAAAAGAAAGGUCCUUUUACUGCUGCUUGCAAUAAACAAUGUUGAUUACGUUCAAUAGUACUAUGUUUAUAGCAAAAGUUUGAUAUAUUGAAGCGAAAAGUUGACUUUGUGAUAAAAGAACUUUGUUUGUCGGAAAAAUUUCCCAAUUAAAGAAGACAUUGUGCGAUUUCAACAGAUUAUCGUUUGUGUCUGUCAAUUGGUUUCGAAUGACUUUUAUUUCCAUAAAAUUUUAAGGAAACCAGCUGAA